UACGGAGGAUCCGAGCGUUAUCCGGAUUUAUUGGGUUUAAAGGGUGCGUAGGCGGCCUAUUAAGUCAGGGGUGAAAGACGGUAGCUUAACUAUCGCAGUGCCCUUGAUACUGAUGGGCUUGAAUGUAGUUGAGGUAGGCGGAAUGUGACAAGUAGCGGUGAAAUGCAUAGAUAUGUCACAGAACACCAAUUGCGAAGGCAGCUUACUAAAGUAUGAUUGACGCUGAGGCACGAAAGCGUGGGGAUCAAACAGG
rnacentral:rRNA from 1 species